rnacentral:lncRNA from 1 species
CUUCCGUCUGAUCUGAAGACCGUUCGAUUCAGUGUUGAUAAAAAUAACAUAAAAUACUUUAUUGGCUUGAUUCCAUUGAGCCUACGAUUACCUUGUACAAUUUGGUGGUGAUCUCUCAAAAGGUGUUCCAUGACAGGAUGCUCGCUAUAAAAGGUGGUGAAUUUUAAAAAGGUGUUCCGUGCCUAACAGAAAUCCUUUUUCUCGACGGAUUUAGCAUAGGCGGUCACAGCGGCUCUUCAGGUGUUGAAUCCACCUGUGUGGUAGUUGACAGCAAAGGAUAGGGGAAUUCAAGUUUGUGUUGGUAUCAUUCAAUUCAGAUGAUAAAGGUUGUUAAGAGUCUCAUGAAAUACUUGAAUGUAAAGUUAUUUGAUUGAUUAUACAUAAAUAAUAAGCGAAAGACAAACAAAAAGGAGUUAAUUAAUUGUUCGUGGAACUUAAGGUGAGUGCCUAAUCUGUCCCAGAUUAGUUCAACAACAAAAUCACUAAUCAACCUUAAAAAUCUCAACCAAUCAAAUCCGUAUCCACAGCAUAUCACACCAAAGAGGCAACAAUAAUUACUUGAAUCAAUUUUACAAUUGAAACUACAAGCUAAAGAAGAGUAAAGAACACGAAUCCUUUAAUCUUGUCGAAUAAAGCAACAUCAUAUAUUAUUCUAAACAAAUCCAAUCAAUUUUCAGAUGAAUAAUUAAAGACCCUAGUAAGGCGGAGGAGCAGUGAAACCCAAAAAAGGACGGCGUCCGUAGGCGGCGCCUCCACUUACGGCGGUGGGAUCGUAGUCAUGCACCGUAUCCUUCAAUUUGUGAAACCCAUGCUUGAAUAUCCCAAAACCGAAGAGCAUUCCAAUGGCUAUCACCACUAAUAUAAUGCAAAGGCAUAAACAGCACAUCUUCGUUCCACAACACAUCUUGAAUUUCCUUUGCUGAAUUCUUUGUUUUUCUAGAGAAGGAGAAAGAAAAUUUGAAUAUGAGAUUGAAUCGAGAUUUGGGGGUUACGAGAGACAAGGGUUUUAUUUGAACAAUUUAUAGACGUGGGUGUUGCAGUUGAUUGCAGGCAAAAGAGGGGAGGAGUGUAAGUUAUGAAGACUCAUCGAGCGCUACCAUACUACUAAUGCGGGUGGAAUCUCU